UGGGGAAUAUUGCACAAUGGGCGCAAGCCUGAUGCAGCCAUGCCGCGUGUGUGAAGAAGGCCCUCGGGUUGUAAAGCACUUUCAGCGAGGAGGAAGGUGGUGAGCUUAAUACGCUCAUCAAUUGACGUUACUCGCAGAAGAAGCACCGGCUAACUCCGUGCCAGCAGCCGCGGUAAUACGGAGGGUGCAAGCGUUAAUCGGAAUUACUGGGCGUAAAGCGCACGCAGGCGGUUUGUUAAGUCAGAUGUGAAAUCCCCGGGCUCAACCUGGGAACUGCAUUUGAAACUGGCAAGCUAGAGUCUCGUAGAGGGGGGUAGAAUUCCAGGUGUAGCGGUGAAAUGCGUAGAGAUCUGGAGGAAUACCGGUGGCGAAGGCGGCCCCCCUGGACGAAGACUGACGCUCAGGUGCGAAAGCGUGGGGCAGCAAACAGGAUUAGAUACCCUGGUAGUCCACGCUGUAAACGAUGUCGAUUUGGAGGUUGUGCCCCUUGAGGCGUGGCUUCCGGAGCUAACGCGUUAAAUCGACCGCCUGGGGAGUACGGCCGCAAGGUUAAAACUCAAAUGAAUUG
rnacentral:rRNA from 1 species